rnacentral:rRNA from 1 species
AGAGUUUGAUCCUGGCUCAGGAUGAACGCUGGCGGCGUGCCUAAUACAUGCAAGUCGAGCGAACGGACGAGAAGCUUGCUUCUCUGAUGUUAGCGGCGGACGGGUGAGUAACACGUGGAUAACCUACCUAUAAGACUGGGAUAACUUCGGGAAACCGGAGCUAAUACCGGAUAAUAUUUUGAACCGCAUGGUUCAAAAGUGAAAGACGGUCUUGCUGUCACUUAUAGAUGGAUCCGCGCUGCAUUAGCUAGUUGGUAAGGUAACGGCUUACCAAGGCAACGAUGCAUAGCCGACCUGAGAGGGUGAUCGGCCACACUGGAACUGAGACACGGUCCAGACUCCUACGGGAGGCAGCAGUAGGGAAUCUUCCGCAAUGGGCGAAAGCCUGACGGAGCAACGCCGCGUGAGUGAUGAAGGUCUUCGGAUCGUAAAACUCUGUUAUUAGGGAAGAACAUAUGUGUAAGUAACUGUGCACAUCUUGACGGUACCUAAUCAGAAAGCCACGGCUAACUACGUGCCAGCAGCCGCGGUAAUACGUAGGUGGCAAGCGUUAUCCGGAAUUAUUGGGCGUAAAGCGCGCGUAGGCGGUUUUUUAAGUCUGAUGUGAAAGCCCACGGCUCAACCGUGGAGGGUCAUUGGAAACUGGAAAACUUGAGUGCAGAAGAGGAAAGUGGAAUUCCAUGUGUAGCGGUGAAAUGCGCAGAGAUAUGGAGGAACACCAGUGGCGAAGGCGACUUUCUGGUCUGUAACUGACGCUGAUGUGCGAAAGCGUGGGGAUCAAACAGGAUUAGAUACCCUGGUAGUCCACGCCGUAAACGAUGAGUGCUAAGUGUUAGGGGGUUUCCGCCCCUUAGUGCUGCAGCUAACGCAUUAAGCACUCCGCCUGGGGAGUACGACCGCAAGGUUGAAACUCAAAGGAAUUGACGGGGGCCCGC